AUGUAAGGACUAUCUGGCUGUGACAUCUGUCACCCCACUGACAGCCAGGUUGAUAUGGCUGAAUCGUCUAUCUAGGCAAAUGUUCCCUUCUCUCUCACUAUU
ensembl:misc_RNA 7SK 7SK RNA